rnacentral:rRNA from 1 species
GAUCUCUGGGCCGUAACUGACGCUGAGGAGCGAAAGCAUGGGGAGCGAACAGGAUUAGAUACCCUGGUAGUCCAUGCCGUAAACGUUGGGAACUAGAUGUGGGGACCAUUCCACGGUCUCCGUGUCGCAGCUAAACGCAUUAAGUUCCCCGCCUGGGGAGUACGGCCGCAAGGCUAAAACUCAAAGGAAUUGACGGGGGCCCGCACAAGCGGCGGAGCAUGCGGAUUAAUUCGAUGCAACGCGAAGAACCUUACCAAGGCUUGACAUACACCGGAAAGGGCUGGAAACAGUCCCCCCGCAAGGUCGGUGUACAGGUGGUGCAUGGUUGUCGUCAGCUCGUGUCGUGAGAUGUUGGGUUAAGUCCCGCAACGAGCGCAACCCUCGUCUUAUGUUGCCAGCGGUUCGGCCGGGGACUCAUAAGAGACUGCCGGGGUCAACUCGGAGGAAGGUGGGGAUGAGGUCAAAUCAUCAUGCCCCUUAUGUCUUGGGCUUCACGCAUGCUACAAUGGCCGGUACAAAGGGCUGCAAUACCGCGAGGUGGAGCUAAUCCCAAAAAGCCGGUCUCAGUUCGGAUUGAGGUCUGCAACUCGACCCCAUGAAGUCGGAGUCGCUAGUAAUCGUGAAUCAGCAACGUCACGGUGAAUACGUUCCCGGGCCUUGUACACACCGCCCGUCAAGUCAUGAAAGUCGGUAACACCCGAAGCCAGUGGCCCAACCGCAAGGAGGGAGCUGUCGAAGGUGGGAUCGGUGAUUAGGACUAAGUCGUAACAAGGUAACCGUAA